rnacentral:rRNA from 1 species
AUGGGAGUGCAAGCACCUAAAGAGCUGUCCAACUUGGAAGAACUGCAAACUCUCGAGAGUGUGGUGUCCAGCAUUGACCUGGCAGAGCAGCUGAAGAAACUGAUGCAACUAAGAAGUGUGUGGAUUGAUACCAUUAGUGCUGCUGAAUGUGCAAAUCUGUUUGCGACUCUGUCAACUCUGCCACUUCUUUCGAGCUUGCUUCUUUCUGCAAGAGAUGAGAAGGAGACACUCUGCUUCCAGGCUUUCCAGCCAAGGAUUAUCAGAGGACAAUGGGCCAUGGGGACACUAAAUUGCCCGAUCUUUCUCAGCCAUGGGAAAUACCUCAAGUAUGUAGCUCUAAGCUGGUGUGACCUUGUGGAAGAUCCACUGGGGAUGCUCGCACCGCACAUGCCGAACCUGGCAUAUCUGAGUCUUAACCGCAUCGGCAUGCUUGUCGGAAAUACUUUGGUUCUUUCUGCGGGAUCCUUUCCCAACCUGAAGACGCUUGUCUUAAAGCACAUGCAUGAUGUCAGUGAGCUAAAAAUCAUUGAUGGCGCUCUUCCCUGCAUUGAUGGUUUGUACAUUGUGUCGCUAUCCAAGCUUGAUAAAGUUCCUCAAGGCAUUGAAUCCCUUCGCUCCCUGAAGAAGCUCUGGCUGCUGAACUUGCACAAGGAUUUCAGAACUCAAUGGGACACUGAAGGAAUGCAUCAGAAGAUACAACAUGUUUCAGAGGUUCGUGUCUAG